AUUGAACGCUGGCGGCAUGCUUUACACAUGCAAGUCGGACGGCAGCACAGAGAAGCUUGCUUCUUGGGUGGCGAGUGGCGAACGGGUGAGUAACAUAUCGGAACGUACCGGGCAGUGGGGGAUAACUAAUCGAAAGAUUAGCUAAUACCGCAUAUUUUCUGAGGAAGAAAGCAGGGGACCAUUUGGCCUUGCGCUGUUUGAGCGGCCGAUAUCUGAUUAGCUAGUUGGUGGGGUAAAGGCCUACCAAGGCGACGAUCAGUAGCGGGUCUGAGAGGAUGAUCCGCCACACUGGGACUGAGACACGGCCCAGACUCCUACGGGAGGCAGCAGUGGGGAAUUUUGGACAAUGGGCGCAAGCCUGAUCCAGCCAUGCCGCGUGUCUGAAGAAGGCCUUCGGGUUGUAAAGGACUUUUGUCAGGGAAGAAAAGGGCGGGGUUAAUACCCCUGUCUGAUGACGGUACCUGAAGAAUAAGCACCGGCUACU
rnacentral:rRNA from 1 species